rnacentral:rRNA from 1 species
UACGUAGGGGGCUAGCGUUGUCCGGAAUCAUUGGGCGUAAAGCGCGUGUAGGCGGCCCGGUAAGUCCGCUGUGAAAGUCGGGGGCUCAACCCUCGAAAGCCGGUGGAUACUGUCGGGCUCGAGUGCGGAAGAGGCGAGUGGAAUUCCUGGUGUAGCGGUGAAAUGCGCAGAUAUCAGGAGGAACACCGAGUGCGAAGGCAGCUCGCUGGGACGUUACUGACGCUGAGACGCGAAAGCGUGGGGAGCAAACAGG